CGAAAGCCUGACGGAGCAACGCCGCGUGAGGGAUGAAGGCCUCUGGGCUGUAAACUUCUUUUCUCAAGGAAGAAGAUCUGACGGUACUUGAGGAAUAAGCCACGGCUAAUUCCGUGCCAGCAGCCGCGGUAAUACGGGAGUGGCAAGCGUUAUCCGGAAUUAUUGGGCGUAAAGCGUCCGCAGGCGGCCUUUCAAGUCUGCUGUUAAAACGUGGAGCUCAACUCCAUCACGGCAGUGGAAACUGUUGGGCUUGAGUGUGGUAGGGGCAGAGGGAAUUCCCGGUGUAGCGGUGAAAUGCGUAGAUAUCGGGAAGAACACCAGUGGCGAAGGCGCUCUGCUGGGCCAUAACUGACGCUCAUGGACGAAAGCCAGGGGAGCG
rnacentral:rRNA from 1 species